UUUUUUUUUUUUUAAAUGGAGAGCGAUAAAACGCAUCAAAUUUUUGGACGCAACUUCAAAAACCAAUGUCGUGCAAGAGAAAACGGUACAUUCAUCUUUCCCAUUUUUGAAUGUGUUAUAAGUAUGCGAGUGUCAAGUGAAUUUUACAAAUUUUUAAAUACAGGCACGCGUGAAAUUCAAUUUUGAAUCGUUGAAAUUUCCGUUUUAGACACGGUUUACGGUAUUCGAAAAGAUUCUAAAUGACUAUACAGAGUGGCGUCGCUGUUAUAUUAUUUGUACAAGAAUAAAGUCAGAAUGUACAAC